GAUAAACGCUGGCGGCGCACAUAAGACAUGCAAGUUGAACGGACUUAAUCGAAAUAUUUAUAUUUUGAAGCGGUUAGUGGCGGACUGGUGAGUAACGCGUAAGGAACCUGCCUAUUAGAGGGGAAUAACAGUGAGAAAUCAUUGCUAAUACCGCAUAUGCCAUAGAUAUUACAUGAUAAAAGUGGGCAAGGAGCAAUCCGGUAAUAGAUGGCCUUGCGUCUGAUUAGAUAGUUGGUGGGGUAACGGCCUACCAAGGCGACGAUCAGUAGCCGGACUGGGAGGUUGAACGGCCACAUUGGGACUGAGAUACGGCCCAGACUCCUACGGGAGGCAGCAGUCGGGAAUAUUGAGCAAUGGAGGAAACUCUGACGCAGUGACGCCGCGUAUAGGAAGAAGGUUUUCGGAUUGUAAACUAUUGUCGUUAGGGAAGAGAAAGGACAGUACCUAAGGAGGAAGCUCCGGCUAACUACGUG
rnacentral:rRNA from 1 species